rnacentral:lncRNA from 1 species
UAUGAUGAAAUAUGGGUUGAUCCACAGUAUGUAGAAUCCCCUUAAGAAAAAAAAUAUUGCAUAAUUUCACAAAUCAGCACAUUUACUUAUCUCAGGCCACAAGCAGCCAACAUAUUUUACAAGUGUGAGAAAUAAAAUUUUUCUCACCACAAUAUUUCUUAAGGCAUUAUUACUCCAUGUGGAUUGAUGGUUACUUGGUCUCCCCACUGUGGUGCCAGAACAUUAGUUAAAACUAUUAGUUGGGACUCACAUGGGCCAGAUAGUUCAUGAUAAAAUUAUGCACCCAGUUCCUUAGUUGUUAUAGGAAGCUAAAAUAAGAAUUCAGGAAUCCUUAUUUUAUACCCUGGAUACUCACAUUCAAGUCCUUGUGGGUUACAGAAUAAUUACUUCAUAGUAUUAAACUCUCCUUUUUUUAACUUUCUUAGGAAUUGGUGAGUCUUUUUUAGUUAAUUCUCCAAAACCCCAAAUUUUGAAAUAGGUUUCCCCAGUGGCAGUUUUGACUUUGGGGGGAAGAGGAGGAAGAGGACAUAUGCUUCAGCUCCAGGAAUUUAUCUUAACUGUGAGCAAAUGAACUCCUAUCAGCCUCUUUUGGGAAGAAGCCUUGGAAGCAGAUUUUGUGUGCAGGAGUACAGAUUCCAGCCCUCCCAUCCCAAGUUGUUCCUUUAGCAAUUCCCAGGCCUACCCAGAAGGAUGAGACAUUUUGCUAUUUGUACUUUCAGUGGCUUGGGGGGCAGGAAUAAUUCUUGAGGUCAGUGAGAAAAUCCAUUAUCCUUUACCCUAAGCUCUGCCUCUUAAAUGUAUCUUUUAAAAUAUCAGAGAUACUUAUCCCUCAACUACCUCAUCUUACUUUUCAAUUGACCCAGAUCUCAGGAGGAGAGAAGAGAGAUUAUUCAUUGGACCCCAUCAAAGCCCAACUUCAGGAGCUUAAUUACAAUGUAAUUCAUCUCCAUGUGAACAAUGAUGCUUUGGCAUUAACCGCUCUGCUUCCUCUCCCACUUCUACCGUUUACUCAUAUUGGCAUCAGCAGCACCCUUACCCGGGCCUCAGCUACUUCUUAACCUCAUCUCAAUCCCAACUCCUUAAAGAAAGGAACAUUAGAUGAAAAGUUAAAGGUCAAAGAGGGAAAAGAAUCCAACUGAGUUGUGAACAUGUGAGACCUAGGGGGCUUCUGAGACCUCCCAGGAUGCAGAUCCUGCAGCAGCUAUCCCAAGGAAAGAUCGAUGUUAGACUCAAGUGUGAUUAUCCUCAGCAUGUAGGUUCAAGUCUGAGCGCCUGGGAGACAUUGGAGAUUAAAAGCUGGGCUGAGGAAGGAGCAUUUAUCAACAAGUUUGAAAAGGAAUGCGGCAAAAUGUAAAAUAGAAGCCAGGGUAUAAAUAAUAUUUUACCAGAAGAAAUGAGGGACCAGUGGUAUUUUAUUUCACCUGGGAGUCCACACUACACUAGAUUUGAUAAUCUGGAGCCCCUUGUGAUCCUUGCCUGAUGUAUUUAACUACGUGUUUGGGAGAGAUGCCCAAUUGUGGGAGGUUGAAAUGUAAAUAAGAAAAAUAGAAGAGAAAAAUCUUGGAGUUCCUGCCAUGGUGCAGUGAGUUAAGAAUCUAACUGCAGGAGUUCCUGCUGUGGUUCAACAAGUUUGGAGGGUUUGGGGAGUGCUAGAACACAGGUUUGAUCCUCAGCCUGGCACAGUGGUUAAGGAUCUACUGUUGCCACAGUUGCAACUUAGGUCAUGACUGCAGCUUGAAUCCGAUCCCUGGCCCUGGUACUCCAUAUGCUGCAGGGUGGCCAAAAACGGGGGAAAAAAAAAAAAAAUCCAACUGCAGCAGCUCGAGUUCUGUGGAGGUAUGGGUUUGUUCCCUGGCCCAGCCCAGUGGGUUAAGACAUGGCAUUGCCAGGGCUGAGGGGUAGGUUGCAGCUGAGGUUCAGACUCAUUCUGUGGCCUGGGAACUUCCAUAUGCCAUUGGUGUGGCCAUUAAAAAAAAAAAAAAAGGAAGAAACAAAGAAAAAUUUUGAAAAAGCUCAUGUUCAAGAAACUGGAUGAGUGAGUAUGGAAGAAGAAAGGACAGUAGCCAGAAAAGCUCAAGGAGCCAAGUAAGUGGUUGGGUGUGGGUCCUGAGCACGUUCAUCUGCUGAGCCUAGAGAGAGAGUGAAAUGAAAGAGGUUGCAGGAAUGCAGAAAAGGUUUGCUCCAGAGGCUACUAUCAGAGGACAUGGGAAGUGAUUUAACAACACAAAAGGAUACUAUGACAGGCAGAAUCAUGUCCCCCACAAAUUCCUAUGUUGAAGUCCUAACCCCCAAGACCUCAAAACAUGACUCUAACUUGUACAUAGGGCCUCUCAAGAGGUAAUUAAAUGGAAAUGAGGAGUUCCUGUCAUGGUUCAGUGGUUAAUGAAUCCGACUAGGAACAAUGAGGUUGCAGGUUCGAUCCCUGGCCUUCCUCAGUGGGUUAAGGAUCCGGUGUUAUUUCUUUGCCCUGAGAAAAUACAUUUUGGUUGAGCCCCCCAAUCUGUGGGGCUUUACUGUAGUUGCUCAAGCAAACAAAUUCAGACAUAUCAGCUUUGAACAAGAAGAGAGACCUUAUGAUUUCUAAGUAGAGAGAAGGAGAUAAGUACAGAUACCAGCAUGUUACAUUCAGAUGUUACUAGUGUGUCAAUGUUUUUGUUGUAUAAGCAGAUCCUUUAGAGGAGCUGAAAAACAGACACUACAGAAAAGGCCAAUAGGAAAACAGCCCAUAUACAACCAAACCUAAAGAACUGGAAUAGGGAGCUCCCAUUGAGUCUCAGCGGGUUAAGAAUCCAACUAGUACUCAUGAGGAUGCGGGUUUGAUCCCUGGCCUCACUCUGUGGGUUAAGGAUUCAGUGUUGCCCUGAGCUAUAGUGUAUGUUGCAGAUGCAGCUCAGAUCCUGCAUUGCUGUGGCUGUGGUGUGGGCUGGCAGAUGCAGCUCUGAUUCAACCCCUGGCCUGGGAACUUCCAUAUGCCACAGGUGCAGCCCUAAAAAGAUAAAGGACUGGAAUAGCCACCUCUUUGUGUGGCCUGGGGGUCCAGCUACAAGGUUUUCAAGGGAAAGAUGUGAUCUAAGCCCUACCCCUUUCCCCCCAGUUGUCUCCAGCUCAGGUUCUAAAAAUGCCCCUCAACAAAAGGUGGGGGCUCCACCAAGUGAGUCAGAGGAAUAAGCCAGGAAGAGCAGCAUCUGAGCAUUUAAAUCUCUUGGGCUGAAAAGGCUUGCAUGGUGUUCAAGAAAUUCAACAUAACUGGGGAGAAAGGUAAAACCAUUAUUAUUGUUGGACUGAAGACAAAAAGGCCACCCUUUCUUUAUCCUUGAUAAAUUAUGGAGGCCUCCUUGAAAAAUUCAGGACAUGGUUUGAGAAUUAUGGGACAGUUUCUCGUAAAGUGGUGUGGCCACCUGUUUCUUCAGAGCAGUGCAGCAGGCCCUUUCAUUCAGCCCCAAACAGGGUUCCUCAACCGCGUUUGCUAUCCCUGGUUUUCUCAUCCUCUCCCUCUGCCUUACACGACUCGUCCGACAGGCACUCUCCUUGAACUUGCCAUUCUCUCAGAUGGUCAAAUUUCCUGAGGAUUCUAACGCUACUCUGUGAAAUACUUUACGAAGGCCAUGUCUUUAGAACAGGAUGCACCCACAUCUCCCUGGGUUGAAUGGUUAUCAAGGUCAUUAUCACCUGUAUCCUGCCGACCAGUCAUUAGAUGCCCUCGUGCUAUUGGGUCUGUCAUCUCUGUUCUCUCCACAUGCAUCGCCCUGCCAGCCUGUGCUCUCUGUUCUGUCUCUGAAGUGGACUCAGAGCCACCAUUUCUGUCCACCAUGUAGCCUCCCUGGCAUCCAGCCUCCACCCUCCCCCAUCCAAGUGCUAUUUCUGAAAGGUAAUAAUAACAACAAGAGCAGCAAUGGUGACCAUGCUCCAGAACCAGAAUCUCUCAAGAGCUUUAUGUGGAUUACUAUGGUUAAUUGACUCUGAAACACAAGGAGGAAAGCCCUACUAAUCUCAUUUUACAGAUAAGAAUUUAGGGUUCAGAGCAGUUGUGUAAUUUAUCCACAGUAAUUAAGUGGAUGUAUCUGAUACUUAGACCCUGACCCCAAACCCUGCAGGCUUAGCCUCAGCCUACAUUCUCCCACUUAGCUCUGAAAAUCAUUGUUGGUUUUCUAGGUUAAAAGGGUCUGAGAAAGCCCCUUCCAUGGGGCUCCAAAGCCUGCCCAGCCGGUGGCUACCUCCUGCAUUCUCUGUAUUAUCCAAGUUCCUGCCAUAUCAAGCCAAUGGCACGUUUCCAAAUUAUCUCUUAGUUUCCUUGCUUCUGGUCUCUUAUACUUGCCCUUGUUUCAGUUUUUCCUAACAAUCUGUUUCAAAAACACUUACAUGCUGUUUUAGAUAUUACCAUACUUUACUAAUAGGUAUGAAUUUAUUUUUAUCAAAAACUUUGCAAAAGUCAAGGUAUGUUGUACCGGUUGCUUCUCCCCUGAUUAUUAACUGUUAGGUUUCUUAAACUGAAUCAAAUUGGGUUUCAUGCUAACCCCUGGUUAAGGAGUAAACCAGGUUCCAACACACAAGUCCCUUUGACUCUAUUUCCUAAAUACCCUAGAAUUACUGAAGUUGAAGCCUGAUUUUUGUUUUUACCCCAUGAUAUCACUCUAUAGAACAGAGUGUAAUUACUGCUAAAAUUACUGGAACUGUUUGCCCAGAUAGGUUAUUUGUCAAAUUUGAUUACCCUUCCAAAAAAAAAAAAAAAAAAAAA